rnacentral:rRNA from 1 species
GACGUAGGGCGCAAGCGUUGUCCGGAUUUAUUGGGCGUAAAGAGCUCGUAGGCGGCUCGUCGCGUCGGCUGUGAAAACCCGCAGCUUAACUGUGGGCCUGCAGCCGAUACGGGCGGGCUGGAGUUCGGUAGGGGAGACUGGAAUUCCUGGUGUAGCGGUGAAAUGCGCAGAUAUCAGGAGGAACACCGGUGGCGAAGGCGGGUCUCUGGGCCGAUACUGACGCUGAGGAGCGAAAGCGUGGGGAGCGAACAGG